rfam:Triticum aestivum genome assembly, contig: Triticum_aestivum_CS42_TGACv1_scaffold_146536_2BS
CUAAUACUCCCUCCGUCCGGAAAUGCUUGUCCUGCAAAUGGUUGUAUCUAGACCUAUUUUAGUUAUAGAUACAUCCAUUUUAUCCAUUUUUAGGACAAGUAUUUUUGGAUGAAGGGAUUACCUA